rnacentral:lncRNA from 1 species
AGAAACUCAUUUAGUGUUCGGUAUUCGGCCGUCGGGAGUCGUAGGGUUUUUUUUUUCUUUGGGGGGUUUUGGUUUUAGAUUUUUAGUUUAACUCCAAAUUGGAGUUCUACACGAAAAGGCGAUAAAAAGGGGAGUUUUUUUUUUAAUUUUUCUGGCCAUCAGGGACGGCACUGUUUUGGCCUGGAUUCGUAAACCCCAAAACAACGCCGUUUUAUGGCAUGACCCGAUUGCCAACCCAACUCGCCUCCGGAUCCGCGUGUUUUUUCAGAAAGGGUCUAUUUGUGACCCUGGUUCUUUCAAUUUUGGGCCUCUUUUUUAAUUUGGUUGUAGUUCCUUUUUCUUUUUUUUUGACCGCACCACUUAAUUUUAAAU